CUAAAAUAAGGGUGACUCAACUAGAGGUUGUGUACAACACGUGUACUACGAACUUGUUGCAGAAAGAAGGACGGGGGGUGGACUCAUGAUGACAGAUAUAAUGCGGUAACACAUAGGAUAAAUACUAUAAACAAAGAGCACGAAAAAAGCACAAAAGUGAAAAUAACACGAACAAUAACCACAAACAGUGCUUAUACAUUCGUAAUACCAAACA
rnacentral:lncRNA from 1 species